rnacentral:rRNA from 1 species
UACGGAGGGUGCGAGCGUUAAUCGGAAUUACUGGGCGUAAAGCGCACGUAGGCGGUGCGGUCAGUCCGUUGUGAAAGCCCUGGGCUCAACCUGGGAACGGCAAGGGCGACGGCCGCACUAGAGUGGACCAGAGGACCGUGGAAUUCCCGGUGUAGCGGUGAAAUGCGUAGAGAUCGGGAAGAACACCGAUGGCGAAGGCAGCGGUCUGGGGUCACACUGACGCUGAGGGGCGACAGCGUGGGGAGCAAAC